GCUAACGUAGCUUAAUUUUAAAGCAUAACGCUGAAGAUGUUAAGAUGGGCCUUAAGAAGCCUCGUGAGCU
rnacentral:tRNA from 1 species